GCCUACGGGAGCAGCAGUGAGGAAUAUUGGUCAAUGGGCGGAAGCCUGAACCAGCCAAGUCGCGUGAGGGAAUAAGGCCCUACGGGUCGUAAACCUCUUUUGCCGGGGAGCAAGGGCCGGGACGAGUCCCGGUCCGGAGAGUACCCGGAGAAAAAGCAUCGGCUAACUCCGUGCCAGCAGCCGCGGUAAUACGGAGGAUGCGAGCGUUAUCCGGAUUUAUUGGGUUUAAAGGGUGCGUAGGCGGGCUUCUAAGUCGGCGGUAAAAAUUCGGGGCUCAACCCCGUCCGGCCGGUGAAACUGGGGGG
rnacentral:rRNA from 1 species